rnacentral:rRNA from 1 species
GAUCAUGGCUCAGGACGAACGCUGGCGGCAUGCCCAACACAUGCAAGUCGAACGGGGGUAGCAAUACCCUAGUGGCGAACGGGUGAGUAACACAUAAGCAAUCUGCCCUUCACAGGGGGAUAACAGCGGGAAACUGCUGCUAAUACCGCAUAAGACCACGGUACCGCAUGGUACAGGGGUAAAAACGAAUCAGUGGUGAAGGAUGAGCUUAUGUCCCACUAGCUAGUUGGUGAGAUAACAGCCCACCAAGGCGACGAUGGGUAGCCGACCUGAGAGGGUGAUCGGCCACACUGGAACUGAGACACGGUCCAGACUCCUACGGGAGGCAGCAGUGGGGAAUAUUGGGCAAUGGAAGGAAACUCUUACCCAGCAAUGCCGCGUGAGUGAAGAAGGUCUUCGGAUUGUAAAGCUCUUUGAUUGGGGACGAAGAAAGUGACGGUACCCAAAGAACAAGCCCCGGCUAACUACGUGCCAGCCGCCGC